GGGGUUGUGGCUCAGUGGCAGAGCACUUGCCUAGCAUGUGUGAGGCACUGGGUUCAAUUCUCAGCACCA
rfam:Ictidomys tridecemlineatus contig043829, whole genome shotgun sequence.